GGGUGGGUAGCUCAGUGGUCAGAGCACAUGCUUAGCAUGCACGAGGUCUUGGGUUCAAUCUCCAGUACUUCCA
rnacentral:tRNA from 1 species